UACGGGGGAUGCAAGCGUUAUCCGGAAUCAUUGGGCGUAAAGCGCCUGUAGGUUGUUUAUUAAGUCUGUGGUUAAAGACUAGGGCUCAACCCUAGGAAAGCAAUGGAAACUAAUAGACUAGAGUAUGGCAGGGGUAGAGGGAAUUUCUAGUGUAGCGGUGAAAUGCGUAGAUAUUAGAAAGAACACCGGUGGCGAAAGCGCUCUACUGGACCAUUACUGACACUCAGAGGCGAAAGCUAGGGUAGCAAAAGGGAUUAGAUACCCCAGUAGUCCUAGCCGUAAACGAUGGAUACUAAACAUUGCGUGCUCGCCGUGGUGUUAUAGCUAACGCGUUAAGUAUCCCGCCUGGGGAGUAUGCUCGCAAGGGUG
rnacentral:rRNA from 1 species